rnacentral:rRNA from 1 species
GUGGGGAAUAUUGGACAAUGGGGGGAACCCUGAUCCAGCCAUGCCGCGUGUGUGAAGAAGGCCUUUUGGUUGUAAAGCACUUUAAGCGAGGAGGAGGCUACCGAGAUUAAUACUCUUGGAUAGUGGACGUUACUCGCAGAAUAAGCACCGGCUAACUCUGUGCCAGCAGCCGCGGUAAUACAGAGGGUGCAAGCGUUAAUCGGAUUUACUGGGCGUAAAGCGCGCGUAGGUGGCCAAUUAAGUCAAAUGUGAAAUCCCCGAGCUUAACUUGGGAAUUGCAUUCGAUACUGGUUGGCUAGAGUAUGGGAGAGGAUGGUAGAAUUCCAGGUGUAGCGGUGAAAUGCGUAGAGAUCUGGAGGAAUACCGAUGGCGAAGGCAGCCAUCUGGCCUAAUACUGACACUGAGGUGCGAAAGCAUGGGGAGCAAACAGGAUUAGAAACCUCUGUAGUCC